rnacentral:rRNA from 1 species
CUACGGGACGCACCAGUCGAGAAUCUUUUGCAAUGCCCGAAAGGGUGACAAUGCGACGCCGCGUGAGCGAUGAAGGCCUUCGGGUUGUAAAGCUCUUUCAGCAGGGAUGAAUGCAGGACAGUUAACAGCCGUUCUGUUUGACGGUACCUGCAGAAGAAGCCACGGCUAACUCCGUGCCAGCAGCCGCGGUAAUACGGAGGUGGCAAGCGUUGUUCGGAUUUACUGGGUGUAAAGGAUGUGUAGGCGUCUUUUUAAGUCGGAUGUGAAAUCCCAUGGCUCAACCAUGGAACUGCAUUCGAUACUGGAAGGAUUGAGUACGAGAGAGGUAAGCGGAAUUCCAGAAGUAAGGGUGAAAUCUGUAGAUAUCUGGAAGAACACCAUUAGCGAAGGCGGCUUACUGGCUCGAUACUGACGCUGAGAUAUGAAAGCUUGGGGAGCGAACAGGAUUAGAUACCCUUGUAGUC